rnacentral:tRNA from 1 species
GGAGAGAUGGGUGAGUGGCUGAAACCACCGGUUUGCUAAACCGACGUACGGGGCAACCCGUACACGAGUUCGAAUCUCGUUCUCUCCGCCA